GAGUGGUGUUUGGUUUGUUACGUGUGGUUGGCUGCGGCGUUUGCAACAACUUCCAUGCUUUCAGACCUCUUCAGUUGUGCGGCAGGGCUUGUAUCGCCUUGAGCGUAUUGUGGGUUUUCUGUGUUGGCUACCUAAUCAACGGUAUCGGUUGGAUUGAUCAAAGUUUGAUUUCGUCUUCCGUCGCAUUCGCGGCGUGAGGUGAACCUCGAUGCGGUCUCUUUGAUCCACCUCGUCGAAGCACAUGCUUUGACGUUGUGGCCCAUUGAGCAUUGCUUGGUCUCUUGUAUACGGAACAUAUAGUGGGCAUGGAUCUAACGAUUCUCGUUUGCCCUCAUAUUAGCGUAACGCUUCUCUUACACGACUUGCUCCACGUUUUAGCUCGUACGGACGUGGUGCUAUGUCGAAGAGGAAUGCUACCUGGUUGAUCCUGCCAGUAGUCAUAUGCUUGUCUCAAAGAUUAAGCCA
rnacentral:misc_RNA from 1 species